rnacentral:rRNA from 1 species
AGUGAACGCUGGCGGUAGGCCUGACACAUGCAAGUCGAACGGCAGCACAGUAAGAGCUUGCUCUUACGGGUGGCGAGUGGCGGACGGGUGAGGAAUACAUCGGAAUCUACUUUUUCGUGGGGGAUAACGUAGGGAAACUUACGCUAAUACCGCAUACGACCUACGGGUGAAAGCAGGGGAUCUUCGGACCUUGCGCGAUUGAAUGAGCCGAUGUCGGAUUAGCUAGUUGGCGGGGUAAAGGCCCACCAAGGCGACGAUCCGUAGCUGGUCUGAGAGGAUGAUCAGCCACACUGGAACUGAGACACGGUCCAGACUCCUACGGGAGGCAGCAGUGGGGAAUAUUGGACAAUGGGCGCAAGCCUGAUCCAGCCAUACCGCGUGGGUGAAGAAGGCCUUCGGGUUGUAAAGCCCUUUUGUUGGGAAAGAAAAGCAGCAGGUUAAUACCGCGCUGUUCUGACGGUACCCAAAGAAUAAGCACCGGCUAACUUCGUG